rfam:Schistosoma mattheei strain Denwood, Zambia genome assembly, scaffold: SMTD_scaffold0009923
CUCUGAGAUGCAGAGUCCCAAAUAGGACGAAACGCGCGUCCUGGAU